rnacentral:rRNA from 1 species
CCUACGGGGGCAGCAGUGGGGAAUAUUGGACAAUGGGCGAAAGCCUGAUCCAGCCAUGCCGCGUGUGUGAAGAAGGCCUUCGGGUUGUAAAGCACUUUCAGUGGGGAAGAAAGCCUUGGGGCUAAUACCCUCGAGGAAGGACAUCACCCACAGAAGAAGCACCGGCUAACUCCGUGCCAGCAGCCGCGGUAAUACGGAGGGUGCGAGCGUUAAUCGGAAUUACUGGGCGUAAAGCGCGCGUAGGCGGUCUGAUAAGCCGGUUGUGAAAGCCCCGGGCUCAACCUGGGAACGGCAUCCGGAACUGUCAGGCUAGAGUGCAGGAGAGGAAGGUAGAAUUCCCGGUGUAGCGGUGAAAUGCGUAGAGAUCGGGAGGAAUACCAGUGGCGAAGGCGGCCUUCUGGACUGACACUGACGCUGAGGUGCGAAAGCGUUGGUAGCAAACAGGAUUAGAUACCCGGGUAGUC